AGCGAACGCUGGCGGCAGGCUUAACACAUGCAAGUCGAGGGGAGCGGCAGACGGGUGAGUAACGCGUGGGAACGGACAUGUUGGUUCGGAACAAAACAGGGAAACGUGUGCUAAUACCGGAUACCGAAAGAUCGGCCCGCGUCUGAUUAGCUAGUUGGUAGGGUAAUGGCCUACCAAGGCGACGAUCAGUAGCUGGUCUGAGAGGAUGAUCAGCCACGUUGGGAAGGAGACACGGCCCGAACUCCUACGGGAGGCAGCAGUGGGGAAUCUUGCACAACGGGGGCAACCCGGAUCCAGCCAUGCCGCGUGAGUGAUGAAGGCCCUAGGGUUGUAAGUCUCUUUUGUGCGGGAAGCGUUACCGCAAGAAUAAGCCCCGGCUAACUUCGUGCCAGCAGCCGCGGUAAUUC
rnacentral:rRNA from 1 species